rnacentral:rRNA from 1 species
AGAGUUUGAUCCUGGCUCAGGAUGAACGCUGGCGGCGUGCUUAACACAUGCAAGUCGAACGAGCCUUCGGGCUAGUGGCGGACGGGUGAGUAACGCGUGAGAAUCUGCCCUCAGGAGGGGGAUAACGGCUGGAAACGGCCGCUAAUACCCCAUAUGCCGCGAGGUGAAACGAGUUUUCGCCUGAGGAUGAGCUCGCGUCUGAUUAGCUAGUUGGUGGGGUAAGAGCCUACCAAGGCAUCGAUCAGUAGCUGGUCUGAGAGGAUGAUCAGCCACACUGGGACUGAGACACGGCCCAGACUCCUACGGGAGGCAGCAGUGGGGAAUUUUCCGCAAUGGGCGCAAGCCUGACGGAGCAACGCCGCGUGAGGGAUGAAGGCCUCUGGGCUGUAAACCUCUUUUCUCAAGGAAGAAGAACUGACGGUACUUGAGGAAUAAGCCACGGCUAAUUCCGUGCCAGCAGCCGCGGUAAUACGGGAGUGGCAAGCGUUAUCCGGAAUUAUUGGGCGUAAAGCGUCCGCAGGCGGUCUUGAAAGUCUGUUGUUAAAGCGUGGAGCUCAACUCCAUUUCAGCAAUGGAAACUAGAAGACUAGAGUGUGGUAGGGGCAGAGGGAAUUCCCGGUGUAGCGGUGAAAUGCGUAGAUAUCGGGAAGAACACCAGUGGCGAAGGCGCUCUGCUGGGCCAUAACUGACGCUCAUGGACGAAAGCCAGGGGAGCGAAAGGGAUUAGAUACCCCUGUAGUCCUGGCCGUAAACGAUGAACACUAGGUGUCGGGGGAAUCGACCCCCUCGGUGUCGUAGCUAACGCGUUAAGUGUUCCGCCUGGGGAGUACGCACGCAAGUGUGAAACUCAAAGGAAUUGACGGGGGCCCGCACAAGCGGUGGAGUAUGUGGUUUAAUUCGAUGCAACGCGAAGAACCUUACCAGGGUUUGACAUCCUGCGAAUCUUUUGGAAACAGAAGAGUGCCUUCGGGAGCGCAGAGACAGGUGGUGCAUGGCUGUCGUCAGCUCGUGUCGUGAGAUGUUGGGUUAAGUCCCGCAACGAGCGCAACCCACGUCUUUAGUUGCCAGCAUUAAGUUGGGCACUCUAGAGAGACCGCCGGUGAUAAACCGGAGGAAGGUGUGGAUGACGUCAAGUCAUCAUGCCCCUUACAUCCUGGGCUACACACGUACUACAAUGCUACGGACAAAGGGCAGCAAACUCGCGAGAGCUAGCAAAUCCCAUAAACCGUGGCUCAGUUCAGAUCGUAGGCUGCAACUCGCCUACGUGAAGGAGGAAUCGCUAGUAAUCGCAGGUCAGCAUACUGCGGUGAAUACGUUCCCGGGCCUUGUACACACCGCCCGUCACACCAUGGAAGUUGGCCAUGCCCGAAGUCGUUACUCCAACGC